GGGCCAGCGCGGAAAGGUAAUACCGGCAGCCCGAGUGACGGCCGAUCUUAUUGGGCCUAAAGCGUCCGUAGCUGGGUCUGAAAGUCCAUCGGGAAAUCCACUCGCUCAACGAGUGGCCGUCCGGUGGAAACUCCACACCUUGGGACCGGAAGGCUCGAAGGGUACGGCCGGGGUAGGAGUGAAAUCCUGUAAUCCCGUCCGGACCACCGAUGGCGAAAGCACUUCGAGAAAACGGAUCCGACAGUGAGGGACGAAAGCUAAGAUCGCGAACCGGAUUAGAAACCCCGGUAGUCC
rnacentral:rRNA from 1 species